GUUUGAAUGUGCUCUAGAGAAUAGCCACUGGAUCUGGCCGAUGCGGAAACACAUUGUGAUGUUUUUGGGGAUGUCCGGAUACUACGACACACAUUUAUUUUAAAAGCAUCAAAGAUAUAUACAACGCUGCGAUUGUUGGAACAACUCGAUUGCUGCAGUAGCGAAGACAAACAAAACGGAACCGGGAAGACGUCAGGAAAGAAGGACAAAAACUAAAUUUUCCGGCAAAAAAAAUCGAAGUUUUGACAGAUUCUCCAGCACGGUCCGUGCGCUGCGCUCCUGAGCCAACAGCGUCUGGGUCUGACUGUGGUCCUCCUCUAGCUGUGGGCGUGACGGACAAACUGUCAAUGUUGGCUGCCCACUCACAGGGUUCCUGAGAGUGAGCUCCACUUUCUGCUUCUCCUGAACCUCCAACUGUCGCUGCUCCUCUGUCCUCCUCAGCUUAUCCCCGGUGGUGCUGAACAUCAUGUUGGCAUUACGGCCGUUUUCCUGCUCCUGUUUUAGCUGG